rnacentral:lncRNA from 10 species
ACGAUUUGAGAUGAGAUUUGGGUGGGGACAGAGACCCAAAGCAUAUCAUUCAGUGAGGGAGCACGCAUCUGCACAGCCCUGCGCCUUGGGUGCCACCUUUCCUGGCUGGGAGUGUCCUGAAAGUUAUUUGUCUCUGAGGGGAAAGUUUGUAAGAAGACAGUGUUUCUAAGCCUGAGAGUCCAUCAUCAAAGCCAACCUCAGAAGAAACUGAGAAGGUUUCUUCUCAGGCCUGUGUUCUAUUGGCCCUGGAUUACCAUUUCAAAAUCUUGCUAAAAUCUGAAAUCCAGGUGUCGGCAGGGCCCGGAGCUUUCUGAAGGCCCCAGUGGAGGAUCCUUCUGCCUCUUCCAGCUUCUGGUGGCCUCUGGGGUUCCUGGUUCUGCAGCAGCGUCUCUCCAGCCUCUGCCUCCGUCUUCACAUGGCCAUCAUCCCUCGGUGAUCCUCCGGGCGCUUUCCUCUUCUUAUGAGGUCCCCGGUCAACGACUUGAGAGCUGAUGCUAAAUCCAGGAUAAUGCUAUCUUGAAGUUCUAGAAUAGUUACAGCUGCAAAGGCCCUCUUUCCAAAAAAGCUCACAUUCGGAGGCUCUGGGUGGAUGCGAAUUUUUAAGGGACAUUGUUCAACCCAAUACACCUGUGUAUAUGCUUUUGGAGCAUUUGAAAUUUAUACUAUGUAUAUUUAUCACCCUUUCAACAUAAAUUAGGUCAUUAAAAACUAUGAAAAACACAUCUGUUUACAGAUGGGAAUAUAUGAUGGCAUUUAUUUACACAUAUAUGUAUUCAUAUUUUUAUAACGAACAGUUUUAGAACAGUAUUUACCAGGUUAAAAUGAGCCCUGCAGUAGAACUGUUAGAGAUAAGAAGGAGGAGAGGGUGGAG